ACGGAGGAUGCAAGCGUUAUCCGGAUUCAUUGGGUUUAAAGGGUGCGUAGGCGGCUUUUUAAGUCAGUGGUGAAAUCCUGUCGCUUAACGAUAGAAUUGCCAUUGAUACUGAAGAGCUUGAGUACAAUUGAGGUAAGCGGAAUGUGUAGUGUAGCGGUGAAAUGCUUAGAUAUUACACAGAACACCGAUGGCGGAGGCAGCUUACUAAACUGUUACUGAAGAUGAUGCACGAAGCGUGGGGAGCGAACAG
rnacentral:rRNA from 1 species